AGUCAUGGUGACUAUUCUCCGAUAAUAGUUACUGUGAUUAGCGAUGCGCUGGUGUUGGCGCACCUUCGCAUCGCGCU
rnacentral:antisense_RNA from 1 species